UUCUUGACCUUUUCAGAAAAAAGGAUCACAUUGCAGAGCUCCAAGACAUUGUUAGAUGGCUGGACGCUCAUGAUUCCAAUCAGAAUAAGCGAACAGCAGUCUUACUUGGCAUGCCGCAUUUCCUUCGUGAAGAGCCCUCAAGCUUUCUUAAGACCUGUGAGCCAACUGAUCCAGUUGAAGAUACCUUGAAAGGAACCAGUGUCGGGAUCCUGAUUGUGUCUGAAGAGAUCGGCAGAUAUGUGGUCCCAAUCGAGACCAAUGACAUUUGUCUCGUCUUGGAGGAACAGCUGGCUGUCAUGAAUAUUUCUGAUAUUCCCAAGGCAUUCGGACUAAUGAUGGGUCUGAUGUAUGCGCUCAAUGUUGACUACCCAAAGCAUCUCAAAUAUACGUUUGAAGUAAUGCAAAAGCUUUUCUUGAAUGUCGGAGGGUGUAGCUGCUCUUCACGUGUUAAUGGUCUCCGUAACAGGCUGCUUUACAAAAAGUUGUAGUGCAGAAAUCUCCCCUAGCAUUUGGACUUGGUCUUCAGAUAUUUUUUUUGCUUUCAUAUUUGGACUUUGAAAGUGGAAACUGUUUGCCCCUUUAAAUGGCUCUUGGCAACUUGUUUUUCUGUUUUAUGCAAUGUAGCACAUGGGUUUGGUCCCGAAAGUGAAGGUUUUCUUUAUUCACUUUUGUAUUGUUUUGUGCCCUUUGCUCCCAUGUGUGGACUUUGAGAAUGUUAUCUAUGCUUAAAAGGGCAUAUUUUCUUUUACAGUGUACCACCUGAAAGCAGGUUGGAGGGGUGGGGGGGAUGCGUGCGCGUGUUAAAAACAAAAAAACUGUCUUCAUUUGCCAGGAGGAUGUUUUGUGUUCACCAGAGGUUGCAAGCAGUAGGGUGUCCCCUAAUAGUCCUGUUCCACCGAAGGCCCUCUGAUGAUUGUACGUCGUGCGUGCGUGUGCGUGCGUGCGUGCAUGUAUGUGUGUUGCUGGGAGAAUACAUAUUUAUGAAAACUUGUUUAGUUCAUGUGGCAAAUGGCUCUAGUACUGGCCAAGUACAAAAAACAUAAUUUUAUCUGAAAGUAGUAACAAAUAAUCAACAGUAACAUCUCACUGUUUACACAUUCAGACAUGUUAUUGAAAACUGAAUCUGCUGUAUGCUCUUUAGUACUCCGUCCACAGUAGCCUAGUUGGUUAAGAUUGUAUAGCAUUCCUCUUCACAAAAUGAGAAACCCUAUUUUUCUCCACUGCCUGGUAUUUGAGUUCAAUGUAUUCAGUGCAAAUACCUCUGCAUUUACCCCCACUGUUUCUAAGUAGGUUUGUUUUACAGGCUGGUAUGAUGAAUGCAGCUACAUAAACAAUCUGUGCUAAACUUCAAAAAGUCAACAUAAACCACAGUGCACAAUGCAUUAUGUGUCGCUUAGAAAAUACUGCAUCAGGCUCAACUUUCUGGACGCAUGCAAUCUGUAGCAUCACUCUAAAAGCUCUCUGGGAGUAUAAGCUGCAGUGCCGGCUGCAUAGGUUGUUCCAUCCUCAGAUCAGAAAUUUUGAGAAUGUGUUGUACUAAUAUGUUGUACUUGGUUUACUUCCAAAACGCAUUCAAAAUACACAUUUGUCAAACUUGUUAUGCCGCCAAAGCCUUGAGCAUGUUGUCUACAACAAUGGCAUAAGAAGUUGGACAAAUGUGUAUUUUGAAUGCGUUUUGGAAGUAAACCAGCAAAAACCUAAAAUGAUUUGUUUUGAAUACUUCAAGCUGACUUUUUUGUUGCCUUUUACACUCAUUUAUUGUACAGGGGUUCAGACUACACAGACACUUUUGUAUUGUUUUGUGCCCUUUGCUCCCAUGUGUGGACUUUGAGAAUGUUGGUAUCUGUUUUUUUUUACUUUUAUUACAGUGUUCAUAGCUCCCUGUCACUGAAUAUUUUUAUAAUUUCCCUUGUUUAAACUACAUGGAAGAGGCAGUGAAUGUUAAUAAAUAUGGAAAAGAAAAGAAA